UACGUAGGGUGCAAGCGUUAAUCGGAAUUACUGGGCGUAAAGCGUGCGCAGGCGGUUGUGUAAGGCAGAUGGGAAAUCCCCGGGCUUAACCUGGGAACUGCAUUUGUGACUGCAUCGCUGGAGUGCGGCAGAGGGGGAUGGAAUUCCGCGUGUAGCAGUGAAAUGCGUAGAUAUGCGGAGGAACACCGAUGGCGAAGGCAAUCCCCUGGGCCUGCACUGACGCUCAUGCACGAAAGCGUGGGGAGCAAACAGG
rnacentral:rRNA from 1 species